CCUACGGGUGGCAGCAGUGGGGAAUAUUGGGCAAUGGGCGCAAGCCUGACCCAGCAACGCCGCGUGAAGGAAGAAGGCUUUCGGGUUGUAAACUUCUAUUCUCAGGGACGAAGAAAGUAACGGUACCUGAGGAAUAACCAACGGCUAACUACGUGCCAGCAGCCGCGGUAAUACGUAGGUGGCAAGCGUGAUCCGGAUUUAUUGGGUGUAAAGGGCGUGUAGGCGGGAGUGCAAGUCAGAUGUGAAAGCUCAGGGCUCAACCCUGGGCCUGCAUUUGAAACUGUGUAUCUUGAGUGCUGGAGAGGCAAGCGGAAUUCCGGGUGUAGCGGUGAAAUGCGUAGAUAUACGGAGGAACACCAGUGGCGAAGGCGGAUUGCUGGACAGUAACUGACGUUGAGGCGCGAAAGCGUGGGGAGCAAACAGGAUUAGAUACCCGAGUAGUC
rnacentral:rRNA from 1 species